rnacentral:rRNA from 1 species
AACGAACGCUGGCGGCGUGCUUAACACAUGCAAGUCGAACGGUAAGGCCCUUCGGGGUACACGAGUGGCGAACGGGUGAGUAACACGUGGGUGAUCCGCCCUGCACUUCGGGAUAAGCCUGGGAAACUGGGUCUAAUACCGGAUAGGACCACUGCCUGCAUGGGUGGUGGUGGAAAGCUUUUGCGGUGUGGGAUGGGCCCGCGGCCUAUCAGCUUGUUGGUGGGGUGAUGGCCUACCAAGGCGACGACGGGUAGCCGGCCUGAGAGGGUGACCGGCCACACUGGGACUGAGAUACGGCCCAGACUCCUACGGGAGGCAGCAGUGGGGAAUAUUGCACAAUGGGCGCAAGCCUGAUGCAGCGACGCCGCGUGAGGGAUGACGGCCUUCGGGUUGUAAACCUCUUUCAGCACCGACGAAGCGCAAGUGACGGUGGGUGCAGAAGAAGGACCGGCCAACUACGUGCCAGCCGCCGCCGUAACAC